GAUCAGGUUGUCCACAUUGUAUUUCAAAAUAUCAAAUCCAUCUGAUGGAUUACCCUGGCUAAGGUUUUGCUAAAUUGAAAUACAGCGACUCAUUCUUCUCCAACUCUUGGAGUGGUCAAUCCCAUCUCGAUCACACUCUGACUUCGCAAGUACUUGACUGUGCCCAGAAGCCUUCCGUCUCUGAAUUAAAAAUUCAGUUAGUCCAGUACCAAAGCACAGUGAGUUGCUUGCAAGUCACUAAGGCGAUCUCAAGUCUAAGGGACACUUAUACCUAUAUCCCAUCAGAGAUAUUUUCGACAGCAGAAUACUCUAGAGUUGGUCACGUUCAAUGAUGAUGUAUCCUUACAUCUCACCUGUAUGCCAUACCAGUGUCUCCACACUCCUUGGUUAAGAGGACAACCAACCCAUAUGGCCUACAGCGACCUAUGCUCGAUAGAAGCUGUCGUCCUUAUUAACAGCCUAUCAUUUGAUCAUGAACAGUUUUAAGGACUAAUCGAUAAAUCCUCUCUUUAUCGAAUCUAAAUAGUCCUAAGGAAUUCAUCAUAACAACGGAGUUCAUUAGAAGAUGAAAGCUUAUGAUGAAAAUGCCAAAUAUA
rnacentral:lncRNA from 1 species